rnacentral:rRNA from 1 species
UACGUAGGGCGCAAGCGUUGUCCGGAAUUAUUGGGCGUAAAGAGCUCGUAGGUGGUCUGUCGCUGUCUGCCGUGAAACCCGAAGGCUUAACCUCGUGGCUUGCGGUGGAUACGGGCAGACUAGAGGUAGGUAGGGGAGAAUGGAAUUCCCGGUGUAGCGGUGAAAUGCGCAGAUAUCGGGAGGAACACCGGUGGCGAAGGCG